AUGCUUCGGAUUAGAGUAAAUAACUCUAAUUUGUCCACGCCUAUGAAUCAAUUGACAUUUUGUACAAAUUUUAUGAAUGGUAGCUCUUAUUUUUAUAUUUUCAUAUCUUUUUAA
rnacentral:rRNA from 1 species